AGAAAAACCUUAUAUAAUAUUUUUGCAAUCGUCACUGGAUUGCUUUAUUAAUAGACCCAAAGAUGGGACAUGUGAUCAUAUUUGACUCAUUGGAUUAUGCCCAAGAUCAAUACAAAGAAUUCAUAUUCGUCCUACAAAAAGAGCUUACAAACACUACAUUGACAAAGGAGGGGCUCGUAAUCCAAAGAAACCAAAAGAAAUGACCAUACACACAAACUUUCCAUGCUACAAGCAACUAAGUGGUUCUAUAUACUGCAGGUAUUACGUGUGCGAAUAUAUGAGGAUGCUCAGGAGAUACGCCUGUGAUCCCGAACGCGUUGUUGCGCAUCACAGUCGCGGACUUCAUGAGCAAGAACUUCUAAAUGUUUGUGCCGAUUUAUGCCGUUUUAUUUUGCAUGAAGUGGUAAAUCCGAGGGGUGUAUAUUAUCAUCCAGAACACUAUUUAGCACAAUAUGAUAAAUA